GGGAAACCGCUGCUAAUACUGGAUACGCUCUCUUCUUAACGUUGAGGGGAAAGGUGGCCUCUUCAUGAAAGCUACCACUUGGGGAUGAGUCCGCGUCUCAUUAGCUUGUUGGUGGGGUAAUGGCCUACCAAGGCUACGAUGAGUAGCUGGUCUGAGAGGAUGACCAGCCACACUGGGACUGGAACACGGCCCAGACUCCUACGGGAGGCAGCAGUGGGGAAUAUUGCGCAAUGGACGAAAGUCUGACGCAGCGACGCCGUGUGAGGGAAGAAGGCUUUCGAGUCGUAAACCUCUGUCAGGAGGGAAGAACCGCGUGGAGGCGAAUAGGCUCUGCGUCUGACGGUACCUCCAGAGGAAGCACCGGCUAACUCCGUGCCAGCAGCCGCGGUAAUACGGAGGGUGCAAGCGUUAAUCGGAAUCACUGGGCGUAAAGCGUACGUAGGCGGCUUAUCAAGUCGGAUGUGAAAGCCCUCGGCUCAACCGGGGAACUGCAUUCGAAACUGGUAGGCUAGAAUCCGAGAGAGGGUGGCGGAAUUCCAGGUGUAGGAG
rnacentral:rRNA from 1 species